GGCCUGAGAGGGCGACCGGCCACACUGGGACUGAGACACGGCCCAGACUCCUACGGGAGGCAGCAGUGGGGAAUAUUGCACAAUGGGCGAAAGCCUGAUGCAGCGACGCCGCGUGAGGGAUGACGGCCUUCGGGUUGUAAACCUCUUUCAGCAGGGAAGAAGCGAAAGUGACGGUACCUGCAGAAGAAGCACCGGCUAACUACGUGCCAGCAGCCGCGGUAAUACGUAGGGUGCGAGCGUUGUCCGGAAUUAUUGGGCGUAAAGAGCUUGUAGGCGGUUUGUCGCGUCUGCUGUGAAAAUCCGGGGCUCAACCCCGGACUUGCAGUGGGUACGGGCAGACUAGAGUGUGGUAGG
rnacentral:rRNA from 5 species